rnacentral:rRNA from 1 species
AGAGUUUGGAUCAUGGCUCAGGAUGAACGCUAGCGGCAGGCCUAAUACAUGCAAGUCGAACGCUCAGUAGCAAUACUGGGAGUGGCGCACGGGUGCGUAACGCGUACACAAUCUACCUCUAAGCGGGGGACACCUCCUGGAAACGGGGAUUAAUACCGCAUAAUAUGCCGAAGUCGCAUGACUUUGGUAUUAAAGCAGCAAUGCACUUAGAGAUGAGUGUGCGUCCCAUUAGGUAGUUGGUGAGGUAACGGCUCACCAAGCCUAUGAUGGGUGGCCGGUCUGAGAGGAUGGUCGGCCACACGGGCACUGAGACACGGGCCCGACUCCUACGGGAGGCAGCAGUAAGGAAUAUUGGUCAAUGGUGGAAACACUGAACCAGCCAUGCCGCGUGGAGGAAUAAGGUCCUACGGAUUGUAAACUCCUUUUGACGAGGAAGAAAAUGUUAGAUUUAUCUAAUUUUGACGGUACUCGUAGAAUAAGCACCGGCUAACUCCGUG